UACAUGGGGUGCAAACGUUGCUCGGAAUUAUUGGGCGUAAAGCGCGCGCAGGUGGUUUCUUAAGUCUGAUGUGAAAGCCCACGGCUCAACCGUGGAGGGUCAUUGGAAACUGGGGAACUUGAGUGCAGGAGAGAAGAGUGGAAUUCCACGUGUAGCGGUGAAAUGCGUAGAGAUGUGGAGGAACACCAGUGGCGAAGGCGACUCUUUGGCCUGUAACUGACACUGAGGCGCGAAAGCGUGGGGAGCAAACAGG
rnacentral:rRNA from 1 species